rnacentral:rRNA from 1 species
CCUACUAGCCAGCGACGGGUACGGGUUGUGAGAGCAAGAGCCCGGAGAUGGAUUCUGAGACAUGAAUCCAGGCCCUACGGGGCGCAGCAGGCGCGAAAACUUUACAAUGCGGGGAACCGCGAUAGGGGGACACCGAGUGCCAGCAUCCUAUGUUGGCUGUCCAUAUGUCUAAAUCACAUGUGUUAGCAAGGGCCGGGCAAGACCGGUGCCAGCCGCCGCGGUAACACCGGCGGCCCGAGUGGUGGCCACUAUUAUUGGGUCUAAAGGGUCCGUAGCCGGUUUGGUCAGUCUUCCGGGAAAUCUGACGGCUCAACCGUUAGGCUUUCGGGGGAUACUACCAGGCUUGGGACCGGGAGAGGUAAGAGGUACUACGGGGGUAGGAGUGAAAUCUUGUAAUCCCUGUGGGACCACCAGUGGCGAAGGCGUCUUACCAGAACGGGUCCGACGGUGAGGGACGAAAGCUGGGGGCACGAACCGGAUUAGAUACCCGGGUAGUCCCAGCUGUAAACUAUGCUCGCUAGGUGUCAGGGACGGUGCGACCGUUUCUGGUGCCGCAGGGAAGCCGUGAAGCGAGCCACCUGGGAAGUACGGUCGCAAGGCUGAAACUUAA